rnacentral:rRNA from 1 species
UACGAAGGGGGCUAGCGUUGUUCGGAAUCACUGGGCGUAAAGCGCACGUAGGCGGUUCUUUAAGUCAGGGGUGAAAUCCCGAGGCUCAACCUCGGAACUGCCUUUGAUACUGGGGAUCUCGAGUCCGGGAGAGGUGAGUGGAACUGCGAGUGUAGAGGUGAAAUUCGUAGAUAUUCGCGAGAACACCAGUGGCGAAGGCGGCUCACUGGCCCGGAACUGACGCUGAGGUGCGAAAGCGUGGGGAGCAAACAGG